AUAGGUUCGGAGUGUCUUUGGGAUUGAUUUGCUCCCGCUGCGCAGGUACCGGUCCAUGGCGUCGGCGUCGGCUUCGGCGUCGAUGUCGGGUGCGUCCGCCAUGUCGGCGUCAGGAGGGGCGAUGUCCGUGAUGCUGCUGGGCGCACUGGCGAUGGCGCCGCCGCCGCCGCCGCCCGGGGCGGCGCCCAUGCUGGCUGGCAGCCGCGGGUGGCCGGAGGACCAGGCGUUGUAAAGUGAGUGGCGGUCCGAUCUUCUGUAAGCACCAGGUAAGCUCGUUAAACCGGGAUAUUUCCUACACAUGGAAGGCUCUUUAAAGGUGUGUUUCCUUAAUGCACCAAAACCCAAACACUUUAAGGUGGUGGGACUCCUGCGACGUAUACGAUUCGUUCUUUACUUAGUAGUUCAAUAAACGCCAGCUCUCUAAUGUUAUCAAAAACGGCUCCUCUUAUCUUUUUGGGGUGUUCUUUACGCGAAGUCUUGUUCUAGUUCACCAUCCGUAUACCUACCUUUGAUGUCUUCUUCCGUCAGCGACAGUUCUAGGGGUUCCAGAGCAAUGGGGAGAAUAAGUGGACUUGGAAGAGGUCAAUCUGCCGUGAGGUCCCUGUCUCUAUUAAUAAGAGGAUCCCCAAGUAUGAGAGGUGUAUGAGCCCUGUUCUCCGUCAUGUAUAGUCUACCAGCUAGCGGAUCGGAUCUACCUGUACUUGCAUCCUAUAGUGGUAGGUCAUUACCUGUACCAGGUGGUCAACUGUCCUUCUCGGGUUGGACUAGAGCGACCGAGGAUUUCCGACUCUACUUAAAGUCAAGAUGUUAGGUACUAACCCACCACUCUCGUCUCUUGUUACGGAAGAAAGGAUGAUACAAAAGAUCUUAUCCAGCCACCAAAAACAUCACUUGUCUGAAAACACAAGUUUUCGUUCAACAACUCACAACUGUGCAAAAUAGUCAUGACAAACACUAUAUAACACCCUAGGCAAUUUCAGACUAGUUAACCAUGAAACACACAAAAUCCGAUAUAAAAACAAGACGAACACGAACGUUCUCGUAGUAUAAGAGAUCCGACCUCAAUUGGUGUAAACAAAGAAAGUUCAGAUUCCCGGAAAAACUAACCUUCCUAAAGGCAACUUAGAAC
rnacentral:rRNA from 1 species